AAGAGGCUAGAUUUUAAAACAAAAAAGCGAAAAAACAUCAAAUUAUUUCGUGGCUUUUAAAGUGUUUUAUUAUAGAAAAUAGUACAAUAUAUAUGCUUACAUAUGUAUAUCGAGUUCUGAGCGCGAAAAAUACGUUGCUGCUUUUAUGAAAAUUUUAAUUGAUUAGCUCUCAUAAAGAUAUAAAGCAAUAUAACAUGAAUAGAAAAUUGGUACACAAGAUAUCUUGGGAAUUCGGUGCAAUUUUAUAUUUUAAUUUACUCAGAUCCCCAUGCAUAAGGCAAAUCACAAAAUAAAAUUUCCAAAGACUGAAACAUUCAAGUUUCGUAAAAUAAUGCCGAUUUAAAUUUCUUUUAAAACAUUUUGUAUAUUAUUUUAUAUAAAAAGGAGAGGUUAAAGGCUGCGAUUGUGUAAAAAUUAGCUAAAACUGUUAUUUAAAUUUUCAAAUGUAUGUACGACUGUAAAAAUUUCCAAGUUCAUUAACAAUAAAAGAUACCUAGUUUAUUGAUUAAAUUAAAACGUGUCCAUUACACAUACAUAUGUACAUGUGCAAAAAAGACAAAAAAAACGAUGCAUAAUUAUUUUAAAUAGCGAAGAAAAAGUAGCUUUUGCAAACGAUUUAGUUUUUACACGGGGAAAAUCACUUGGGUAGUGCUCACGUUAAUUAAGAAGAAGAAGAAUUAGAAAUACAAUGAAAAACAAUGUGUUUCAUGACGAGCAAUAACUAUCUACAGUUAAAAAGGGUCACACAACUUUUAAUUACAAUGUCACGAAAAAGUAGAGCCAACGACGGAGUUGCAACAAUGAAAAAAGGCCGAAAAUUGUCAAAACCUGAAUCAAAGUGAUGAAUUGAGUUUGAGUUGGCGUGUUCGUAUAGAAAUGUUCAAAUGUGCGCUGAUGAUUGGCUUAUGCGCUGUGUUG